UACGAAGGGGGCUAGCGUUGUUCGGAAUUACUGGGCGUAAAGCGCACGUAGGCGGCUUCGCAAGUCGGAUGUGAAAUACCUAGGCUCAACCAAGGACGUGCAUCCGAAACUGCGAGGCUUGAGUACAGAAGAGGAUCGCGGAAUUCCCGGUGUAGAGGUGAAAUUCGUAGAUAUUGGGAGGAACACCAGUGGCGAAGGCGGCGAUCUGGGCUGAUACUGACGCUGAGGUGCGAAAGCGUGGGGAGCAAACAGG
rnacentral:rRNA from 1 species